AGAUGACGUCUGCAAACACACAGACUCUCCAGCUCUAUUCCUCACGUCGGCCUGGCUGGCGAUGGUACCAACAUCCGUGGAGAACAAAGUUGGUUAUCUUUGUCCACGAAAAACCUACACAGGCAUCUAAGGAGCAUCCUUUCGGUGUGGAGAAGCAGUGACUCUACUCUUACCUCCCUGAUGAAGGAGAUCCUCACUCAGUUUUAAGGUAAAACAGGGUAACUUGUAGAGAAAGCUCAUUUUUGUUGGCUAAAUGUCUUAAAAUAUAGCUUAUCUUU